AGUGAACGCUGGCGGUAGGCCUAACACAUGCAAGUCGAACGGCAGCACAGUAAGAGCUUGCUCUUACGGGUGGCGAGUGGCGGACGGGUGAGGAAUACAUCGGAAUCUACUUUUUCGUGGGGGAUAACGUAGGGAAACUUACGCUAAUACCGCAUACGACCUACGGGUGAAAGCAGGGGAUCUUCGGACCUUGCGCGAUUGAAUGAGACGAUGUCGGAUUAGCUAGUUGGCGGGGUAAAGGCCCACCAAGGCGACGAUCCGUAGCUGGUCUGAGAGGAUGAUCAGCCACACUGGAACUGAGACACGGUCCAGACUCCUACGGGAGGCAGCAGUGGGGAAUAUUGGACAAUGGGCGCAAGCCUGAUCCAGCCAUACCGCGUGGGUGAAGAAGGCCUUCGGGUUGUAAAGCCCUUUUGUUGGGAAAGAAAAGCAGCAGGGUAAUACCCCGCUGUUCUGACGGUACCCAAAGAAUAAGCACCGGCUAACUUCGUG
rnacentral:rRNA from 1 species